rnacentral:rRNA from 1 species
UACAGAGGAGCCAAGCGUUGUCCGGAUUGACUGGGCGUAAAGCGCACGCAGGCGGACGCGCGCGUGGGGUGUGAAAUCUGGCCGCUUAACGGCCAGGCGCCAUCCCAUACGGCGCGUCUGGAGCCAUGCAGAGGUCGGUGGAAUUGCCGGUGUAGUGGUGAAAUGCGUAGAGAUCGGCAGGAACACCCAGGGGGAAGCCAGCCGACUGGGCAUGUGCUGACGCUGAGGUGCGAGAGCGUGGGGAGCGAACCGG